GCUUCAUUAAACAUCAUAAUAAUAGCAUUCAAUAAACAUUAUUUUUUUUACCUUUUACCUUGUAAAAUGAUAAUAACUUUUUGAUCAUCAUUUUUACUUUCUUUUUUUUCUCUUGUUCAUCAUCAACACUUUCUUCCUUUCAUCAACAAUCAUGUUAAUAGAAAGGCAAUAUUGACAGGUAACGUUACAAUGAUUCUGGAUGAGAACAAUUGAACAGGACAAAAACCACAACAAUCUCUUCUGUUAACCCAAUCUGCUUCAACAACACUUUCCUUUUCACCAUUCAUCUCUUUCAAAUUCAUCAUGUUCUGUUUUAUUGUACCUUUAAUUUUGACUGAAUCUUCUGUCUUCUUAAACUUCCUCUCCUUCUUUCUUUACCCUGUAUUCUGAUUUAAUAUCGUCUUCAUUGAAGCUCAGCUUUUUUCCAUCUCCCUGUGAACCAAAAGUGCUUUGUUUUUCAACUCAUUUUCCCCAUUCUUUUUGCCUUCUCUUUCUCUCUGUAAAUUAAUCUUCUCUCUCUCUAUCAAUUUCAAUAGUUUAAUCAGGAUGAUGAAGGAGCAGGAAAUGAUAUUAUUCAUUCAUUUAUUCAGUGCGAAUUGAAAAGGAUCUCAUUUUGAAAAAUCAAAUCCAUUUGCAUUAGUUAAAGAGCAACUAUUGACCCAAUAAGGAGUGCAGAUCAUUUUAUAAUUUAAUCAAAAAUCAUUUUGAUAAACUAUACUAUCAAUUAGUGUUUCAAAUAUUGCACUGUGAUCAUUGAAAUGAAUUGAUUAAACAACCAGAAAUGGUUAACAUCAACACUAAACGGAAACACUAACCAACAACAACAAGAGUUAUUGAUUGCCAUUUACUAUUUAAAAGCAAUUUAACCUUAUUCACUUCAAUAUAAAGAGUUUAUCUCAUUGUGAAACUUCAAGCAAUUUUGAUGGCAUCAAGUCAUAACCUUUAAUAACCUUAAAAGUCCUACCAAUUGACUGUCAAUUGAUGAAACAUUUAAAACUAUUAUCCCAUUUCAAAUCCAUGAGCUUCAUAUUUCAAGAUAUUAACCCUUAAAGCCAACAAUAGUGACUUUUCAACUAGUUUGCCGUUUAAAUAAAGUGAUCCCAUUGUCCGAA